rnacentral:rRNA from 1 species
GAGUUUGAUCAUGGCUCAGGAUGAACGCUGGCGGCGUGCUUAAUACAUGCAAGUCGAACGGGAAAUGCAGCAAUGUAUUUCUAGUGGCGAAUGGGUGCGUAACACGUGGGUGACGUGCCUCGAAGUGUGGAAUAACAGCUCGAAAGAGCUGCUAAUACCGCAUGUGGUCUUGGUGUUUAGAAAUCCAAGUCUAAAGUCGUAAGACGCUUCGAGAGCGGCCUGCGGUCCAUCAGCUAGUUGGUAGGGUAAUGGCCUACCAAGGCUACGACGGAUAGGGGACCUGAGAGGGUGGCCCCCCA